rnacentral:rRNA from 1 species
GGCUCAGGAUGAACGCUGGCGGUAUGCUUAACACAUGCAAGUCGAACGGGAAUCUUAGGAUUCUAGUGGCGGACGGGUGAGUAACGCGUGAGAAUUUGGCUUCAGGUCGGGGACAACAGUUGGAAACGACUGCUAAUACCGGAUAUGCCGGAAGGUGAAAGAUUUAUUGCCUGAAGAUAAGCUCGCGUCUGAUUAGCUAGUUGGUGGGGUAAGAGCCUACCAAGGCGACGAUCAGUAGCUGGUCUGAGAGGAUGAUCAGCCACACUGGGACUGAGACACGGCCCAGACUCCUACGGGAGGCAGCAGUGGGGAAUUUUCCGCAAUGGGCGAAAGCCUGACGGAGCAAUACCGCGUGAGGGAGGAAGGCUCUUGGGUCGUAAACCUCUUUUCUCAGGGAAGAAAAAAAUGACGGUACCUGAGGAAUAAGCAUCGGCUAACUCCGUGCCAGCAGCCGCGGUAAUACGGAGGAUGCAAGCGUUAUCCGGAAUGAUUGGGCGUAAAGGGUCUGUAGGUGGUGCUGUAAGUCUGCUGUUAAAGAGUCACGCUCAACGUGAUAAAAGCGGUGGAAACUACAGGACUAGAGUGCGGUCGGGGCAAAAGGAAUUCCUGGUGUAGCGGUGAAAUGCGUAGAUAUCAGGAAGAACACCGGUGGCGAAAGCGUUCUGCUAGUCCGCAACUGACACUGAGGGACGAAAGCUAGGGGAGCGAAUGGGAUUAGAUACCCCAGUAGUCCUAGCCGUAAACGAUGGAUACUAGGCGUGGCUUGUAUCGACCCGAGCCGUGCCGGAGCUAACGCGUUAAGUAUCCCGCCUGGGGAGUACGCACGCAGUGUGAAACUCAA